GAGUUUGAUCGUGGCUCAGAACGAACGCUGGCGGCAGGCUUAACACAUGCAAGUCGAGCGCGUAGCAAUACGAGCGGCGAACGGGUGAGUAACGCGUGGGAAUCUAUCCAGAACUAUGGGAUAACACAGAGAAAUUUGUGCUAAUACCAUAUACGCCCUACGGGGGAAAGAUUUAUUGGUUCUGGAUGAGCCCGCGUUGGAUUAGCUGGUUGGUAGGGUAAUGGCCUACCAAGGCGACGAUCCAUAGCUGGUCUGAGAGGACGAUCAGCCACACUGGGACUGAGACACGGCCCAGACUCCUACGGGAGGCAGCAGUGGGGAAUAUUGGACAAUGGGCGCAAGCCUGAUCCAGUCAUGCCGCGUGAGUGAUGAAGGCCUUAGGGUUGUAAAGCUCUUUCACCGGUGAAGAUAAUGACGGUAACCGGAGAAGAAGCCCCGGCUAACUUCGUGCCAGCAGCCGCGGUAAUACGAAGGGGGCUAGCGUUGUUCGGAUUUACUGGGCAUAAAGCGCACGUAGGCGGAUAUUUAAGUCAGAGGUGAAAUCCCAGGGCUCAACCUUGGAAUUGCCUUUGAUACUGGAUAUCUCGAGUGCAGAAGAGGUAAGUGGAAUUCCGAGUGUAGAGGUGAAAUUCGUAGAUAUUCGGAGGAACACCAGUGGCGAAGGCGGCUUACUGGUCUGUUACUGACGCUGA
rnacentral:rRNA from 2 species